GUUAGGAAUAUUGGACAAUGGGCGCAAGCCUGAUCCAGCCAUGCCGCGUGAGUGAUGAAGGCCUUCGGGUUGUAAAGCUCUUUAGCCGAUGAUUAUAAUGACUGUAGUCGGAAAAUAAGCCCCGGCUAACUUCGUGCCAGCAGCCGCGGUAAUACGAAGGGGGCGAGCGUUAUUCGGAAUCACUGGGCGUAAAGCGUGCGUAGGCGGCUUUGCAAGUUGGGAGUGAAAGCCCAGGGCUCAACCCUGGAAUUGCUCUCAAAACUGCAAGGCUCGAAUUCGGGAGAGGAUAGCGGAAUUUCCAGUGUAGCAGUGAAAUGCGUAGAUAUUGGAAGGAACACCAGUGGCGUAAGCGGCUAUCUGGACGAGUAUUGACGCUGAGGCACGAAAGCGUGGGGAUCAAACAGGAUUAGAAACCCGAGUAGUCC
rnacentral:rRNA from 1 species